rnacentral:rRNA from 1 species
GACGAACGCUGGCGGCGUGCUUAACACAUGCAAGUCGAACGGAAAGGCCCUGCUUGCAGGGUACUCGAGUGGCGAACGGGUGAGUAACACGUGGGUGAUCUGCCCUGCACUUCGGGAUAAGCCUGGGAAACUGGGUCUAAUACCGGAUAGGAGCCAUUUUUAGUGUGAUGGUUGGAAAGUUUUUUCGGUGUAGGAUGAGCUCGCGGCCUAUCAGCUUGUUGGUGGGGUAAUGGCCUACCAAGGCGGCGACGGGUAGCCGGCCUGAGAGGGUGGACGGCCACAUUGGGACUGAGAUACGGCCCAGACUCCUACGGGAGGCAGCAGUGGGGAAUAUUGCACAAUGGGCGCAAGCCUGAUGCAGCGACGCCGCGUGGGGGAUGACGGCCUUCGGGUUGUAAACUCCUUUCGCUAGGGACGAAGCUUUUUGGGACGGUACCUAGAUAAGAAGCACCGGCGAACUACGU